AUUGAACGCUGGCGGCAGGCCUAACACAUGCAAGUCGAGCGGAUGAAGGGAGCUUGCUCCUGGAUUCAGCGGCGGACGGGUGAGUAAUGCCUAGGAAUCUGCCUGGUAGUGGGGGAUAACGUCCGGAAACGGGCGCUAAUACCGCAUACGUCCUGAGGGAGAAAGUGGGGGAUCUUCGGACCUCACGCUAUCAGAUGAGCCUAGGUCGGAUUAGCUAGUUGGUGGGGUAAAGGCCUACCAAGGCGACGAUCCGUAACUGGUCUGAGAGGAUGAUCAGUCACACUAGAACUGAGACACGGUCCAGACUCCUACGGGAGGCAGCAGUGGGGAAUAUUGGACAAUGGGCGAAAGCCUGAUCCAGCCAUGCCGCGUGCGUGAAGAAGGUCUUCGGAUUGUAAAGCACUUUAAGUUGGGAGGAAGGGCAGUAAGUUAAUACCUUGCUGUUUUGACGUUACCAACAGAAUAAGCACCGGCUAACUUCGUG
rnacentral:rRNA from 1 species